GACAGAGGUCCCGAGCGUUAGGCGGAAUCACUGGGCUUAAAGCGUGUGUAGGCGGAUGCCUAAGUACCUUGUGAAAUCCCACGGCUCACCCGUGGAACUGCUUGGUAUACUGGGUGUCUUGAGCCACUUAGGGGCUACCGGAACAAAUGGUGGAGCGGUGAAAUGCGUAGAUAUCAUUUGGAACGCCAAUGGUGAAAACAGGUAGCUGGGAGUGUGCUGACGCUGAGACACGAAGGCCAGGGGAGCAAACGGG
rnacentral:rRNA from 1 species